UAGACAUACAUUACAUUUUUGGUCUAAUAGCAUUGAAAAAGAAAAUCUAAAAGAACAGAACCUUUUUUGUAAAACUAUUAAAAAAAAAAGUAGCCUAUUAAAACACAAGAACUUUUACCCCUCAGGAAUUACUCAAACUUUAAUUGCAUACAUGACAGCUAAAUUUCCCAAAGAGGAAAAACAGUUCUUACCUACAGAAAAAUACAGUAUUGUGUAAUAAAAUUUCUUUCAAAACAUUUAACUAGCUUUGUUAUAGUCUCAAAGCUAUAGAGCCUGUAUUUUAACAUAAAAAUACACAAAUAUUUAUGUGAUUAAACUCAAUUUAUCCUCCAUUCCUAGCUGAGAUCAGGCUGCUGCACUCAGGCAGCCUGGGUGACUGAGCGAGACUCCGUCUCAAAAACAAUACAAUGGUAAAACUUUUAAGUAAAUCUAACAGCAGAACUUUUAGAAUCUGAACAAUAUGCCUGAAGAUGAUGAUCCAAGAUUUGACUGUAAGCACAAAUUCAAGAAUAGUAUAUACAGUAUAGGCCCAAAGAAGUUAUCUAAGUAUGGAAUAUAUGAAGGUAAUGUGUAUUAUUCCAAAUUAUUAUAUUUUAUCUAGAUUAUAUGUUAUAU
rnacentral:lncRNA from 1 species